GGGCGUAUGGUCCAGUGGUAGGACAUCUCACUCGCAAUGAGAGGGUCCCGGGUUCAAACCCCGGUACGUCUA